CGACCUUGAAUCCACCACACAACCAUCCCCACGAGCACUACGCUCUAUCCCCCCUGCUCGCAGCGACCGGCGACGGCGGAUUGGAGGAGGCCACCCGACCGGCCGAGCUCAGAUCCACUACAUCAACCAGCGACAGCGGAUUGGAGGAGGCCUCCCCACCCGUCUCUCUUUCCCCACAGAUUGCAGCGACCAGCGUCGGCUGACGAAUAAAGACCGAGUCUGCACUUGUUCGAAACUGAAUAAAGGCCGAGUCUGCAGUUGUUCUUGUUUAACUGAAUUCUGGAUGCUCCAUAUUUCCAACUUCAGUUACUAAAAUCAUGCCACCAGUUCUGGAGAGUGAUAUGCAUAGCAGGGAAUAUCUUGCGGAACAGAAACGCAAGGGUGAGGCAUAUUUGAAGGAAAGGAAUGCAAGGAUUGCGGAAUGCAAGGCUGCGGAGCAGGAGUCUCUUAAAGACAUACAAAGCAUAGCUCGUAGCCUUGUAUACUCCAGUGCUCCUAAUGCACAACUGACACAAAAGGCACAAGGUGCUGAUGAUUGCAGUGACUCAGAGUAUGACCGAGAUGCUGAAGAGGAGGCCUAUGUAGAGGAAGAGGAUUUGAGAGAUGAAGAGGAGGUCUCUCUUGCUAAGUCCAAAGCAAUGGUAAUCAUGCAGACGUACAUCUUAAAUAAUAUGUACAAUGUCGAUUGACUGACUUUAAUUUUGCCUUGCUUGUAUCAUUUGUAUGUCAUUGUGCACUAUAAGUAUCACAAAUAAUUGAC